GCAUCUAUAGCUCAGUGGCAGAGCGGUGGGGCGUUUACCCAUGCAAGCGACUCGAGUUCGAUCCCCGGUUGAUGCA